rnacentral:rRNA from 1 species
UCGAGCGGAACGAUGGUAGCUUGCUACCAGGCGUCGAGCGGCGGACGGGUGAGUAAUGCUUAGGAAUCUGCCCAGUAGUGGGGGAUAGCCCGGGGAAACCCGGAUUAAUACCGCAUACGCCCUUUUGGGGAAAGCAGGGGAUCUUCGGACCUUGCGCUAUUGGAUGAGCCUAAGUCGGAUUAGCUAGUUGGUGGGGUAAAGGCUCACCAAGGCGACGAUCCGUAGCUGGUCUGAGAGGAUGAUCAGCCACAUCGGGACUGAGACACGGCCCGAACUCCUACGGGAGGCAGCAGUGGGGAAUAUUGGACAAUGGGGGCAACCCUGAUCCAGCCAUGCCGCGUGUGUGAAGAAGGCUUUCGGGUUGUAAAGCACUUUCAGUGAGGAGGAAGGCCUUAAGAUUAAUACUCUUNAGGAUUGACGUCACUCACAGAAGAAGCACCGGCUAACUCCGUGCCAGCAGCCGCGGUAAUACGGAGGGUGCAAGCGUUAAUCGGAAUUACUGGGCGUAAAGCGCGCGUAGGUGGUUGAGUAAGCGAGAUGUGAAAGCCCCGGGCUUAACCUGGGAACGGCAUUUCGAACUGCUCGACUAGAGUGUGGUAGAGGGUAGUGGAAUUUCC